CUGACUUGGGACAGACACAUACAGAACGUGGCGGGGUUAAACUUAUUUGAAGGCGCCAAUCCUCCCACUAACCUGGGACAGUGUUGUAACAGUACAGCAUAAGAAUAAACUAAAAAAAAUAAGUUGAAAAAGGCUUAUCUCAUCAGAUGGGUACAGACAGAAAUACAUCUAACAAAUCACAGAGUGGACAUGGACGUGGACGGCUACUUAUACAUCCCCACAACAAAGACACUAAGUACAGAUCUUAGAGUACUCGCAGUUACUGACAGCUAGUUCAAAGCCAAUAAAAACUAAUUAAAAAAAUCAUGCAUCUAAGACUAAAAUUAUAUGAUUUCAUAUUACAUUCCAUGUUUGAUGAUACUUCAAUUGUACCUACUACAUGUAUGUGCAAAAUAUAAUAUGUAAGUAUUAUUAUUUGUUCAUGGUUUUUUUCAUAUUUUAUAAGUUACAGUGAUUAGUAACCUGUAAUUAACUGAUACAGACUAUAAAAACAAAUUAAUCACUAUCAAAACAAUUCCAAAUUGUCCCACAUUUAAACUUCCCAAUUGUCCCACAAACAUAUUCCCAAUUGUCCCACAAAAUUUCAUUACUUUUUAUAAGACCGCAAAAAAAUUUUUGUGGUCGUAUAUUGGUAUGACGUUGGCGUCGUCGGCGUCGUCCAAAGACACAUUGGUUUUCGCACUCUAUCUUUGGUUUAAGUGAAUGGAUCUCUAUGAAGUUUUACCACAAGGUUCAAUACCACAAAAGGAAGGUUGGGAUUGAUUUUGGGGGUUAUGGUACCAACAGUAAAGGAAUUAGGGGCCAAAAAUAAGCAUUUUUGUAACUUCCAGACAUAACUUGUGUGUUAGUGUAUGGAUCUCUCUGACAUUGUACCACAAGGUUCCAUAUCACAAAAGGAAUGCUGGGAUUGAUUUUGGGGGUAAUUGCCUCAAAAUUUUAAGAAUUAGGGGCAAAAAACAAGCAUUUUACUAGUUUCAUGACAAUAACUUGUGUGUAAGUGUAUGGAUCUUUCUGAAAUUGUACUACAAGGUUCCAUAUCACAAAGGGAAAACUGGAAUUGAGUUUGGGGGUAAUUGCCGAAACAUUUAGGAAUUGGGGGCCAAAAAGGGGCCAAAAAUAAGCAUUUUUUUAGUUUCCAGACAAUAACUUGUGUUCAAGUGUAUAGAUCUCUCUGAAAUUGUACUGCAAGGUACCAUACCACAAAGGGAAGGCUGGGAUUGAUGAUGGGGGUAAUUGCCUCAAUAUUUUAGGAAUUAGGGGCAAAAAACAAGCAUUUUUCUAGUUUCAGGACAAUAACUUGUGUGUAAGUGUAUGGAUCUUUCUGAAAUUGUACUACAAGGUUCCAUAUCACAAAGGGAAAGCUGGGUUUGAGUUUGGGGGUAAUUGCCCUAAAGUUUAGGAAUUUGGGGCCAAAAAGGGGCCAAAAAACAAGCAUUUUUCUAGUUUCCAGACAAUGACUUGUGUUCAAGUGUAUGGAUCUCUCUAAAAUUGUACUGCAAGGUACGAUACCACAAAGGGAAGGCUGGGAUUGAGUUUGGGGGUGAUUAAUCAUAAGGGGUUCCUUUUUUUCUUUAAAAUUUUCCAUUUUAAAUUGGUUAUUUCUGAUU